ensembl:lncRNA
GCCCAAAGAACAGCUGCCACCCAAUGCCUGGGAAGGCAGCAGUGGAAGUGUUCGGGAUAAAAAGUUGGACGCUCAGCUUUCCCGGGGCAUGGUAGUCACAUCGCAAGGCAUACUUUGGAGACAUUGUGGGUUUGGUUCCAGGCUGCCACAAUAAAAUGAAUGCUGCAAUAACCUUGAACUCCUUUCAGCAUAUCUUAUAGUACAAGUCUAAUGGUGAUGAACUCCCUCAGCUUCUGUUUGGGAAAGUCCAUCUCUCCGUUCCUGAAAGACAACCUUGCUAGGUUAUUGGGCAGCUCACAGAAUUACCUUGAAGGCCGAAAAUCAAGCUUGGAAAACCAGCAGGAUGCAAGGGGACCACAAACAAGG